UGAGGGAGUGGGUGGGAGG
rnacentral:miRNA from 3 species